GACGAAGGGGGCUAGCGUUGUUCGGAAUUACUGGGCGUAAAGGGCGCGUAGGCGGUUCUUUAAGUCAGGCGUGAAAGCCCUGGGCUCAACCUGGGAGUGGCGCUUGAUACUGAGGAACUAGAGAGUGGGAGAGGUUGGUGGAAUUCCCAGUGUAGAGGUGAAAUUCGUAGAUAUUGGGAAGAACACCGGUGGCGAAGGCGGCGAGCUGGUCCAUUACUGACGCUGAGGCGCGACAGCGUGGGGAGCAAACAGG
rnacentral:rRNA from 1 species